rnacentral:rRNA from 1 species
GAACGAACGCUGGCGGCAGGCUUCAUACAUGCAAGUCGCGCGAUUAAAGCCCCUUCGGGGGUGUAUAAAGUGGCGAACGGGUGAGUAACAGGUGGAUAAUCUGCCUUUCGGUGGGGGAUAACGGCUGGAAACGGCCGCUAAUACCGCAUGUGAUUGCUAGUUCUUCGGAACCUGCAAGGAAAGGCGCUUCACGGCCUCGCCGAAGGAUGAGUCCGCCCCCCAUUAGCUAGUUGGUGAGAUAAUAGCUCACCAAGGCUUCGAUGGGUAGCCGAGCUGAGAGGUUGAUCGGCCACACUGGGAUUGAGAUACGGCCCAGACACCUACGGGUGGCAGCAGUAGGGAAUAUUGCGCAAUGGGCGAAAGCCUGACGCAGCCAUGCCGCGUGGAUGAUGAAGGCCUUCGGGUCGUAAAACCCUUUUCUGAGGGAAGAACAACCAGAGGAGGAAAUGCCUUUGGUCUGACGGUACCUCAGGAAUAAGCAACGGCUAACUCCGUGCCAGCAGCCGCGGUAAUACGGAGGUUGCAAGCGUUGUUCGGAAUAACUGGGCGUAAAGGGAGUGUAGGCGGUUCAGUCAGUCUGAAGUGAAAGCCCGGGGCUCAACCCCGGAAGGGCUUCGGAUACUGCCUGGCUUGAGUACGUGAGAGGUGAGUGGAAUUUCAGGUGAAGCGGUGAAAUGCGUAGAUAUCUGAAGGAACAUCGGUGGCGAAAGCGGCUCACUGGCACGAAACUGACGCUGAGGCUCGAAAGCGUGGGGAGCGAACGGGAUUAGAUACCCCGGUAGUCCACGCCGUAAACGUUGUGCACUAGGUGUGGGAGGUAUCGACCCCUUCCGUGCCGCAGCUAACGCAUUAAGUGCACCGCCUGGGGAGUACGCCCGCAAGGGUGAAACUCAAAGGAAUUGACGGGGGCCCGCACAAGCGGUGGAGCAUGUGGUUUAAUUCGAGGCAACGCGAAGAACCUUACCCAGACUUGACAUCCCGUGACCGCUCUAGAGAUAGAGCUUCUCUUCGGAGCAGAGAGACAGGUGGUGCAUGGUUGUCGUCAGCUCGUGUCGUGAGAUGUUGGGUUAAGUCCCGCAACGAGCGCAACCCCUAUUGCCAGUUGCCAUCAUUUAGUUGGGAACUCUGGCGAGACUACCGGUGAUAAACCGGAGGAAGGUGGGGACGACGUCAAGUCAUCACGGCCCUUAUGUCUGGGGCUACACACGUAAUACAAUGGUAACGACAGAGGGCAGCUACCCCGCGAGGGCAAGCGAAUCCUAAAACGUUAUCUCAGUUCGGAUUGCAGGCUGCAACUCGCCUGCAUGAAGUCGGAAUUGCUAGUAAUGGCAGGUCAGCAUACUGCCGUGAAUACGUUCCCGGGCCU